rnacentral:rRNA from 1 species
GACAUAUACAGGAAUGUUGUAGAGAUACAGCAGCCGCUUGCGGUCUGUAUACAGGUGCUGCAUGGCUGUCGUCAGCUCGUGCUGUGAAGUGUUGGGUUAAGUCCCGCACGAGCGCAACCCCUAUCAUCUGUUGCCAGCAUUUAAGGUGGGGACUCAGAUGAGACUGCCGGUGACAAACCGGAGGAAGGUGGGGACGACGUCAAGUCAUCAUGGCCCUUAUGUCCUGGGCUACACACGUGCUACAAUGGCCGGUACAGAGUGAAGCGAAACCGCGAGGUGAAGCAAAACGCAGAAAGCCGGUCUCAGUACGGAUUGGAGUCUGAAACUCGACUUCAUGAAGUUGGAAUCGCUAGUAAUCGCGCAUCAGCAUGGCGCGGUGAAUACGUUCCCGGGCCUU